rnacentral:rRNA from 1 species
AUCUGGGCGGCGGAAUUCAGGACUCGGCCGUUUGAUAUUUCCGUCGCCCAGACGUCGCGACCUGUUUGUCGUCGGUCCUUGCUCGGAGGAAUCGCGAUCGAGUUCGUUGCGGGCGCGUUUCGGCGUGGAAGACGCGACUCUCUGGCUGACGACGGACAGUAAGCAACGGUGUCCGACGCGUCGGUGCCGGUCAGCGACGAUUUCUUCGGGCCUCUUUCCGACCCGUCUUGAAACACGGACCAAGGAGUCUAACAUGCGCGCGAGUCGCGGGGUUUCGAGCGUGCCACGGUGCGCUCGUUACUUCCGAAACCCGGAAGGCGUAAUGAAAGUGAAUAGGGAAGAUGGCGUUCCGAGUCCACGUACCGUGAUCGAGUAUCGCGGCCGGACGUCCGCACUCCCGGGGCGUCUCAAUGGUUCGCCGCGGAUGCGGACGAGGGGCGGUCGUCGGUCUGCGGCGGUCCGAGGCGCACCUAUAGCGUGCACGUUGGUACCCGAAAGAUGGUGAACUAUGCCUGGCCAGGAUGAAGUCAGGGGAAACCCUGAUGGAGGUCCGCAGCGAUUCUGACGUGCAAAUCGAUCGUCUGAGCUGGGUAUAGGGGCGAAAGACUAAUC